GAACGCAACAAUAAUAGAUUUUUCAGCC
rnacentral:sRNA from 1 species